AUUGAACGCUGGCGGCAGGCCUAACACAUGCAAGUCGAGCGAGCGGCGGACGGGUGAGCAAUGUAUGGGGACCUGCCUGAUGGAGGGGGAUAACUACUGGAAAAGGUAGCUAAUACUGCAUACAAUCAGAUGAACCCAUAUGGGAUUAGCUUGUAGGUGAGGUAACGGCGCACCUAGGCGAAGAUCCCUAGCUGGUCUGAGAGGAUGAGCAGGCGCACUGGGACUGAGACACGGCCCAGACUCCUACGGGAGGCAGCAUUGGGGAAUAUUGGACCAUGGGCGCAAGCCUGAUGCAGCCAUGCCGCGUGUGUGAAGAAGGCCUUCGGGUUGUAAAGUACUUUCGGUCGGGAGGCGUUACCGACAGAAGAAGCACCGGCUAACUCCGUGCCAGCAGCCGCGGUAAUUC
rnacentral:rRNA from 1 species